UACGGGGGGGGUAAGCGUUGUUCGGAAUUACUGGGCGUAAAGGGCUCGUAGGCGGCCAACUAAGUCAUACGUGAAAUCCCUCAGCUUAACUGGGGAACUGCGUGUGAUACUGGAUGGCUUGGAUUUGGGAGAGGGAUGCGGAAUUCCAGGUGUAGCGGUGAAAUGCGUAGAUAUCUGGAGGAACACCGGUGGCGAAGGCGGCAUCCUGGACCGAUAUUGACGCUGAGGAGCGAAAGCUAGGGGAGCAAACGGG
rnacentral:rRNA from 1 species